UUGUUUUGUGAUUUUGCCAUAAAUGUGACACCUGAUGAACACCAUGCAAAGAAGUUUACAUCAUGAUUUUGUGCUGAAGGGGAACAUCAAAGAGACACCAACAGCAUAAGGAGAAACACAACAUAAACAACAAAAUAAAUUUAAGUACUCUUUUCCUUUGAAAUAAAAUUAGUAUCCAGUAGUUUUGUAAUUUACUAAAGAUAUAUUGUUCAUCUGUACUCAGAAAACACUGAAUUAAUGCUAUUGUGUUUUUCUCUCCCUUUCCCUUUCCCUUUCCAAAAAAAACAACAAAAAAAACAAAAAAAAACCCCUCUUUUCUCUUCUUCUUUUCAUUCAACAUAUUGCACUCCUGUAGCGAUGACAGUUAGCUCUUAAAGUUAUGUACUUACUUGAUUCCUGUGUUCUAUGUCUAGUACCAUCAGGUUGAAUGCACUUGUCGCUUCAUCUAAUUAAGGAUUUUUUCUCCUUUUUUCUUUUCCUAUUUGUUUUUUUUGUUUUGUGAUUUUGCCAUAAAUGUGACACCUGAUGAACACCAUGCAAAGAAGUUUACAUCAUGAUUUUGUGCUGAAGGGGAACAUCAAAGAGACACCAACAGCAUAAGGAGAAACACAACAUAAACAACAAAAUAAAUUUAAGUACUCUUUUCCUUUGAAAUAAAAUUAGUAUCCAGUAGUUUUGUAAUUUACUAAAGAUAUAUUGUUCAUCUGUACUCAGAAAACACUGAAUUAAUGCUAUUGUGUUUUUCUCUCCCUUUCCCUUUCCCUUUCCAAAAAAAACAACAAAAAAAAACCCCUCUUUUCUCUUCUUCUUUUCAUUCAACAUAUUGCACUCCUGUAGCGAUGACAGUUAGCUCUUAAAGUUAUGUACUUACUUGAUUCCUGUGUUCUAUGUCUAGUACCAUCAGGUUGAAUGCACUUGUCGCUUCAUCUAAUUAAUGAUUUUUUCUCCUUUUUUCUUUUCCUAUUUGUUUUUUUUGUUUUGUGAUUUUGCCAUAAAUGUGACACCUGAUGAACACCAUGCAAAGAAGGUUACAUCAUGAUUUUGUGCUGAAGGGGAACAUCAAAGAGACACCAACAGCAUAAGGAGAAACACAACAUAAACAACAAAAUAAAUUUAAGUACUCUUUUCCUUUGAAAUAAAAUUAGUAUCCAGUAGUUUUGUAAUUUACUAAAGAUAUAUUGUUUAUCUGUACUAAGAAAACAAUGUGUUAAUAUUGUUUCUUUAUUUUUUCCUGGCCUGAAGGGUAACUACAAGACGGAAUCAACAACAUUAAGCGCUUAAGUGCUUUUCUUACUGCUCAUGACAUUCUUAUAUUUCAUGAUUUCUUACAAAUAUUUUUUAUCUGUAAACCGAAACCUUACAUUUUUGAUGUUUAGUUUGCUCUAUGAUUGUUUUAUCUAAUUAAUGAUUUUCUCUCUUAAUGAUGUUCUCUCUUCUCUUUGUGUUGUUUUGUGAUUGUGCAUGAAUCUGACACCUGAUGAACACCAUGCAUAGAAGGAUGGCAGCAACCCCAAAGGCAAAAGUAGGAUCAUCACAGUGAGGACAACAGCAAAGAUCGCAGCCGUUCAACCUGUGAAGAAUCAGCAUUCCAACACGAGGCUUGAGAAUUGGUCGCGGCAGAUGGCCAUUCACCAUGAUCCGGGUUCUGCUCAAGGUUUCUGCCACGGGCAGUUUUUCCUUGCCACCGUCGCCAAGUGCUUGGUCAUGCUGGAAAUUGUAGUGGAGAUUGUUCAAACUAUCAUCACAGAACUAUACAAUUACAACUACGAUUAAACACUUUGUUACAAUCUUCUAAA